rnacentral:sRNA from 1 species
GUUUUGCAUGAGGGAUAGCAGUGGAAAUCCUUUUUUGAUUUUUCUUCAAAAAAGAUUGCAACGAAUAGCCCGACCCUUG